rnacentral:piRNA from 2 species
GUUAAGUAAGCCAGGUUCAGC